rnacentral:rRNA from 1 species
CAGCCAUCUGGCCUAAUACUGACGCUGAGGUACGAAAGCAUGGGGAGCAAACAGGAUAAGAUACCCUGGUAGUCCAUGCCGUAAACGAUGUCUACUACCCGUUGGGGCCUUUGAGGCUUUAGUGGCGCAGCUAACGCGAUAAGUAGACCGCCUGGGGAGUACGGUCGCAAGACUAAAACUCAAAUGAAUUGACGGGGGCCCGCACAAGCGGUGGAGCAUGUGGUUUAAUUCGAUGCAACGCGAAGAACCUUACCUGGCCUUGACAUACUAAGAACUUUCCAGAGAUGGAUUGGUGCCUUCGGGAACUUAGAUACAGGUGCUGCAUGGCUGUCGUCAGCUCGUGUCGUGAGAUGUUGGGUUAAGUCCCGCAACGAGCGCAACCCUUUUCCUUAUUUGCCAUCGGGUAAUGCCGGGAACUUUAAGGAUACUGCCAGUGACAAACUGGAGGAAGGCGGGGACGACGUCAAGUCAUCAUGGCCCUUACGGCCAGGGCUACACACGUGCUACAAUGGUCGGUACAAAGGGUUGCUACCUCGCGAGAGGAUGCUAAUCUCAAAAAGCCGAUCGUAGUCCGGAUCGCAGUCUGCAACUCGACUGCGUGAAGUCGGAAUCGCUAGUAAUCGCGGAUCAGAAUGCCGCGGUGAAUACGUUCCCGGGCCUUGUACACACCGCCCGUCACACCAUGGGAGUUUGUUGCACCAGAAGUAGGUAGUCUAACCGUAAGGAGGACGCUUACCACGGUGUGGCCGAUGACUGGGGUGAAGUCGUAACAAGGUAACC